UUUUUGAGUGCUGGCGCGGUUGCCGCUGGUCGGGUGGUGGCACGGCCCUGCUCUGCCAUGACUGGUCAGCAGGGGAACAGAGGAGUGAAGGGGGAGAGAGGCAAAAAGAGAGAAGAGAGAGAGAAAGAAAGAAAACAGUCUGACUUGAAUUUAAUUUUUCUCAAGAUUUUGCGUGGUAACUCGAUAAUUUUUUUAAUACGAAAGUCGUUCAUAAUUUCAAGUCCUUCAUCUUUUGUUUCAGACAGAAUUUCAUCUGAGCAUCGGUUUGGAAGUUAUUUUAAAUCUAAGACAACUAGAAUUUGAAUUAUUUGUCAUUUAAUGUGAAAUUUUUAAAUUUUGAAACCGAUUCUUCUAGCAAGUUUGUAGUGCAUUACAAGAGAGAUAUGUUGGUGCAUUUUAUUUGGCAUAUCCUGUUGAGUAUGGAAAAGUACACAAGCACCCUAUUCUAGGCAUAUUUUGCACACAUACACAUGCACGCAUACACACAUGCAUAUGCAUACAUACAUACUUACAUUUAAGGGAUGAUUUAUUUGAAUUAUUCUUGAUCAUGAUGUCCUAUUUAAUUUCUCAUAUUUAAUAUUUUAAACACCUGGGGUGUUACAAUCAUGUCUCAAGUCUGCCCAUGGAGAAUUUACUGCUUACUGUGCUUAUUAUUUGCAAUUUUUUGUUGACGUGGCAUCUUGGGGCCUUAAGUAUAGUAUAUCCUUUCCAGGCAGAUUCUUGGUGCCUUCUUGAGUAUUAUUGGGUCCUUUUGAAGUAUUGUGGAUUGGGCUGGGCCUCAUGCACCCCAAGUAGGGCCCAAAAAUGUAUCGGGAUGCCAGUUAUAAUAGUAUGUUUUCCAAAGUAUUAAACCAACCUGGACUGUUUAAUUCCAGCUAGAUUGCCUGUUAGUUUGUAUCCUUACCUGCCUGGAGAGGUUAAAUAAGAUUUUUACGAUUGUUACAUGCACAAAAUGAUGGGUUGAGUCCCUAAGCUGCAACAUGAUGUCCUUGGCACAACUUCUUGGCUCUCGAGAGUCAAGCAUUUUAAUAGCAAUUUCUUCCUAAGACUAUGCAAAGAUCAUGUGAUAGUACAAGAAGAUCCUUAUUGAUAUAUAUGCCCCUUUUGCACUGGCCGAGCAGAACAGAAAGAAGUUUCUGCUUGUGCUGUUGUGCAUACUGAGGUUUAGCGUCAUGAUGUUCAAAUGUUAUCUUUAUAUUGUUUUUUUUAGUAUUUUAGAUGAACAUUUGUUUCCUUGCUCGUGGCUGCAGGAAGACCUCAGGAAGAUUGAUAACUGGCAAUAUAUUAAUUCUGUGAACCUAUGGGUUCGGUUCCUGUGCUGUAACUACAAGGAUUACAACCUCAAUCCAUUAUUUUCUCAAGUUCUUCAAGUAAUAGGAGUGGCUCACUUAUUCCCAGGCACACGGUACUUGUUAAGACUAAAGCUUGUGCAGAUGCUGAAUGAGCUUUGCACUUGGAGUCAGAUGUUCUUUCCAAUUCCAUCGUUGCUAUUUGACUGCCUAGAUUUUAGGGAGGUCUCUCAGAAAGAACAAACACAAAAAACUAAGGUCAAUUUCUCAUCGCUAUUGAAGGUGCCAAAGAGCCUGCUGAAGUCUAGAGAUUUCCAAGAGGAGUGUGUUCAGCAAUUCAGGUUCUAUCAGCACAUUUUGCUCAAUGGAGCUACCAUGUAUCUUUCCAAGAAGUAGCUACCAUUCCUCUUAUCCUCUUGAAAAAACUACAUGAGCAGACACCAAUUGAAUCGAUUCACCAUCUUAUUAUACGAUUUUUAGACCAGGUACAUGAGAACAAGGAAUUUAUUGAAAGGAAAAGAGAGGUGGUAUCCUUUUCACCAAAUGAUAAGGCAUCAGUUGAUAGCUUCCUUCAGUAGAAGAACAGUGGAAAUGCUUCAUUCACACGAUUCUAUGCUUCCAUAGCGGGAAACCAUCAACAAAGAGGUAAGAUUGUAAAACCCAUGCCUAAAACACAACAUUACCGGCAGCUUCUAAUUUCCAAAGAACUAACAGUGUUGCGUGGUUGCAGGGAGAAAAAACUCUCAAGUACUAAUGUAACUGUGAGGUGACCCCACGCAUUUGCGCGGCUAAUAUUGAUAUCUUAAAUAUAUUUUAAUUUUUUAUCUAAUUAUUAUUCAUAAACUUAAAUCUUUUCCAUCAUAUGCUACUUGCUUCAGUAAUCAAGAGUGCUUCUCUGCUGCUAGUGUAGUGGUGGCUCCUUUUGCCUAUAUAUUUAUUUGCCAGUGAUGUGGCCGCAUGGCAAGCGCACAACCCUAAUCCUGUCACGCUGCCUAUCUCCUCGAUCUUAGCUACUACCAUUUCCUGUAGUAGUAGUAAUAUGUUUCUUAUCUGCCAACCCUUGCAAUAAUGGUACCCACUGCUCAGUUCAACUGACUUAGUUGUUCUUUUGCUAGCUUCCCUACUUUAUGAUUCUCUUGGUCGUCUGUUACUACUAUGUUUAAUUCUGUCGUCUGUUGUAUGACGUCAUGCUUCCAUGGCCUAGUUUUGUUGAGGAGUAAUCGACCCAAGUUUCUUGUUUUUUGGAAGCCAACAAAUCUCGUAGUGCAGAGCACAAGAAUCCGUUUAGACUUUCAGCAACCUAUGUUCAUGUUCAAGCCUGAUGAGCUUACUAUAUCAAUCAUGGCCUGAUCGACAUUGUCCUGAUUCCUGAUCUUAUUGUGGUGUUAUUUUUUUUAGCUUGUGGUGUUAAUUGUGAGGUGCAGUAGUAUAUUGUCGCAAUGUCGGCAACAAACCUUUGAAGGGUGGUAGUCUAAUAUAGUGCAAAACCUAGAAUUAUCUUAUUUAUUUUGACUAAUAAUAAUAUAAUCGUGAAGGUGCAUUUGAGAUUUUGGUAAUAUAAUAAGAUACGUGUGGUAAAAUAUGUUAAUUGUUUGUGUAGCUAGUAUCCUAUAGGUAUGCACGAUGUGUAGCUUGAUAUGCAAAAUAAUGGAUAGAUUUAUAUUUAUAUUUAUAAAUAUAUUUUAAUGGCACUGGUGGGUAAUUUAUAAACAUGUAUAUGGGUAUUUUAGGCUAAUUUUUUCGGAAUGGCAGUGAUGGAUAAUUUUAAUUUUUCUUUUUUCUCCGAUUAACGUGAGAAUUUCUAAUUCUUGAGAGCGAACAUAGAAGCUUCGUUUGUUGGCCAAAUAAUAAGAUAAUAGAUAGAUAACUGUGAGCCAUCUGGAAACUGGUUGGACUCCAAGUGAGGAUUGAAAAGAAUCACUUUACAGUGGAACAUGCAUGUAUUGAUGCUCACAUUUUGGUCGCAGAUAUAUGCUGAGGCGGCCAGUGUAAAAUGCACCGAUGCAACUCAGUUACUCAGAUUGGGCGACUAGCAUUGUGUGCUCAGCAAUUUUGUGUCAAUUGUAGCUUUGCGACGCAUAUGUACACUAGAUUUGGUUUGAACAGACGCUGGAGGAAUGAAAAAUGUUUGGUGCUGCUGGUUGAGUCUUUAGCUUCCAGAAUAUUGUGAGUGUUAACUUUAGAACAAUAAUAAUAUAUUUUUUUCUGGCGUAUCCUUCUUUGCUAUGCCGUUAUUUUCCGCAAUUAAUUGUUUUUACUGCACUGAUCUCAUGUUACAUGGUUGAACCUAAGUAGUAAUAGUAAUUAGUACUGGCGCACUGCUUGAUUUUAGAAGGGAUCGCAGGUACCAAACUGCACCAUCUAAUGUUUGCAGAGCUGUAUGCUAUUCUUUUUGGACUAACAUGCUUCCAGUUCUACAACUAAUUGCCAGGUCAUUUCAAUUAGUCUCAUAGCUAUCAGCAAGCAAAUGUGGUUGACUUAUGAUUACUCCAUGGCAAGCAUUACCUCCAUUCUUAAAUAUAUGAUGUUUAGGACAUGGUAAUUAGUUCAAAAAUCAACUAAAUUGGCUGUCCUAAACGUCGUAUAUUCAAGAACGGAGGGAAUAGUUCUUGUAAAGUAAUAAUUGCAUGCACUAGUACAUAUACAUAUUUGUAGCCAAACCAUUUGCUUUUAGAAACUAUGGCCGGAAAGAAUCAUGCUUAUGAAGUUAUGAUGCAACUGGGCACCCUAUAGUGAGUGUUCUUCAUGGUGGAAAUAGAGUUCAGUGGAAACAGGGAAGUAGCAGGAUUACUUUUUUUUUUCAUAACUACCACUGUUACCUUUUCUCGGUGUACUAGAUAAACAGUAUAAAAUGUGGAAAAGAAAAUCAAAACCCAUGCAGAUUCGUCAAAGCUGGACAAACAUGAACAUGACCAAUAUGGUCUUUUCCAGCAUUCUCUCUAAUACUCCCAUCCUCUAUUCCAUUGAACAGCUUUUUAACCUCCAAUACACCUUUUUAUGGUGUGCAGGAUGCAAGUCACAGAAUAAACAGCAAAGUAGCUAUACUCCAUUUACCCGUCUUUGAUUAUAUGUAACAUUGGCCCUCUAUGCAGAAGCGCGCUAUAACUUGCGCCUUCAUUGGCUUGGAACACUAACUGAGUAGCCAUCGCUCUCCCUGAACAGGGUCUGCCGUUGGGCUGAACUUUUAGGCGGACUGUUCCUUGGUUGGAUUGCUGCUUCACAGUUGACUUAGUCAAAUUUUCCAUUGUUUAUCCUACUUCGUUCUAAACAAAUCAGUGCUGCUUCACUGCUCUGAGUGGUGCAGGGAGCAUGCUCUCCUAAUGAGCAGGGAGUCACAUCUGUGUGUUGAAGCGACAAUGAAACUGAACAAUUUCCAUUUCACUGCUCUGUUUGUGCUGACUGCGAACCAGCUGAUGGAUUAUCUACUGUGGUGUAGCGUCUAUAUUCUUGUCAUGUAAACAUUUUUUAAAGCAAUCACUCAAAACUGUGCAAUGAGUGCGGUGUUCUAUAAGUGUACUAUGCUCACAUUCUGAAAAUUACUUGAUGUUGGAGUGAAUUUGUUCUAUUUGCCUGCUUACGAUAAA